rnacentral:rRNA from 1 species
UACGUAGGGAGCAAGCGUUGUCCGGAAUCAUUGGGCGUAAAGCGCGCGUAGGUGGCCCCGUAAGUCCGCUGUGAAAGUCAAAGGCUCAACCUUUGAACGCCGGUGGAUACUGUGGGACUAGAGUACGGAAGAGGCGAGUGGAAUUCCUGGUGUAGCGGUGGAAUGCGCAGAUAUCAGGAGGAACACCAAUAGCGAAGGCAGCUCGCUGGGACGUUACUGACACUGAGGCGCGAAAGCGUGGGGAGCGAACAGG